rnacentral:rRNA from 1 species
AGUGAACGCUGGCGGUGGGCCUAACACAUGCAAGUCGAACGGCAGCACAGUAAGAGCUUGCUCUUACGGGUGGCGAGUGGCGGACGGGUGAGGAAUACAUCGGAAUCUACUUUUUCGGGGGGGAUAACGUAGGGAAACUUACGCUAAUACCGCAUAUGACGUACGGGUGAAAGCAGGGGAUCUUCGGACCUUGCGCGAUUGAAUGAGCCGAUGUCGGAUUAGCUAGUUGGGGGGGUAAAGGCCCACCAUGGCGACGAUCCGUAGCUGGUCUGAGAGGAUGGUCACCCACCUGGGAACGUGAACACGGUCCAGGCGCCUGCGGGAGGGAGCAGUGGGGAAUGUUGGGCAAUAGGGGGAAACCUGGUCCAGCCAUAGCGCGUGGGUGGAGGAAGCGUUCGGGUUGUGAAGCCCUUUUGUUGGGAGAGAAAAGCAGCAGGUUGAUACGCCGCUGUUCUGACGGUACCCGAAGAAGAAGCACCGGCUAACUUCGUG